rnacentral:rRNA from 1 species
UACAGAGGGGGCGAGCGUUGUUCGGAAUUACUGGGCGUAAAGGGCGCGUAGGCGGCCCGCUAAGUCGAACGUGAAAUCCCCAGGCUCAACCUGGGAACUGCGUCCGAUACUGGCAGGCUUGAAUCCGGGAGAGGGAUGUGGAAUUCCAGGUGUAGCGGUGAAAUGCGUAGAUAUCUGGAGGAACACCGGUGGCGAAGGCGGCCUGCUGGGCAGUAGCUGACACUGAGGCGCGACAGCGUGGGGAGCAAACAGG